UACGAGGGGUGCAAGCGUUAUCCGGAAUUAUUGGGCGUAAAGAGCUCGUAGGCGGUUUGUCGCGUCUGCCGUGAAAGUCCGGGGCUCAACUCCGGAUCUGCGGUGGGUACGGGCAGACUAGAGUGAUGUAGGGGAGACUGGAAUUCCUGGUGUAGCGGUGAAAUGCGCAGAUAUCAGGAGGAACACCGAUGGCGAAGGCAGGUCUCUGGGCAUUAACUGACGCUGAGGAGCGAAAGCAUGGGGAGCGAACAGG
rnacentral:rRNA from 1 species